AAUUUGUUAGUUAUUUUUACCUCUGAAACUAUCUAGGAGCUAACCUUUAUUAAUGUAAGUCUUCACAGAAUAUAUUUUGAUUAUGAGUCGUUUUCUGCAGUUCAUCAAGUAAAAUUUCGGUGCAAAAUAUAAACGACGAUAGAGACAGAUAGAGACAAAUAAAGACACUAAUGGAUUGGAUUUGGUCAUAAUGCCUAAUAAGGCGUGGUGGCACACUGAAGACGGCUUAUAGCCGAAACACGUUCUCUAGCUUACAUUAGUAAUGGUUUAGCAGAGAAGAUUGAGGAUAUUUGAGUUAAGUUAAAAUGUAUUUCUUAUAAUUUAUAUAUACAUUUUUUGCUUUUUUAUAUUUACUUCCCAUUUCCCUUCCAUAUAAUACUUAUGCCCAUAUAACAUUUCCCCAAAAGUGAAUUGCCAAUGAAAAUUUAACCAUAUAGCUGAAAUUAAAGGAUUGUUUAAACGGAACAAAAAUGUCGUAGAUAAUAAUUAGAAUGGGACGUCACUAGCCUAGUUGAAAAUACUUAAUUAUAGUCGUCCGUGUAUACGAGCGUUUCGCUUGAGUGCCGAAAAAAAUCAUUCAUUAAUACGUAUUAAUCGUCGUUUGACGUGAAUAUAAAACUGGUAUUGAAAACGGUCAUUUAUUUUAAUAUUGCAUAUCCGACACGCCUAAACCUCUAGGCGCGUGCUUAACGAACGGAAAUAUUUAUUUUUCUCCGAUGGAGCUUAUCGGAAAAAAAUGCUGGAGUGCAUUGUUUAAUGAGUACAUGGUCACCAGAUAAAAUUGUAAAGUGAUGUAUUUCGGGAAACUGUUCGUCAUAGAGGGGUAAAAAUUUGUUGGGCAAAAGAAGAGGGCCAGUGGGCGUAACUGACAUUGGCAAGUUUUAACAUGGCAACGGAUGAAUUUUAGUGGGUACCCAAACAUGCGUUGCUAUGGAAAUCUGCCAACACAGUCAAUUUUUAUUGGUUAAAAACUACUGCUGUGAAAAUUUCUUCCCGAUUACCACACGAUGUCAAAUUGAAUCCGGAAUUUUUUUCUAGCUUAUGAAUAUUUUCAAAAUUAUGCUGAGUCGAAGAAGACGAAAAAAUUUCCGGAAAUAAUUUGAACUCUAGUGGUAUUACUAGUGAAAAUUCAUUCAUAUGCAGGGAAUCCUUCCUUGUGGUAAUUAAAAAGAAAUGAAAUUCGUCAUGGGAAGGACGGCAUUAGUAAUGCUUUAGUCGAUACAUGAUGACAUUGGAAACUAACCAAAACCAUCAAGAUCCGAUAGGACAUAAUUUUAACACUUUGAAUUUAGUUAUUUAAAGUAAUGCAUGGUAUAUUUACUAAAAAUACAGCAACUUGUGUCGAUUUAGUGAUAAAUUCUGGCCCUAGGUAGAACGGUAAAGUAAACCAAAAUCUAAAUUUCAAAUUUUUAAAGUAUGCUUUGACAGACAUUGGAAAACGUACGAAAGAUAUAUCUAAGUAUAAAUACUCCCUGUUAUUAAUACUAAAAAAUCAAUUUAAAGCCCGGUAGACAGGAUACAAUUUCUACAUGCAUUUUUUGAUGUAUUUUUUCAUGUAAAUAUUGCAACGUGUCUACUACCAAAUUGCAAGAAAUAAAUAGGUAAAAGGCAAGGUAAAAUUACCAGCUAUUGUUUCCCGAACUUGUGAGUGUAAAUUGGCCGCAAAGCGUUUGUGUUAAUAAACUUACAGUUGAAAUCACAAAAGAUGACUCUUAAAAGUGUAAAUACAACUUCACGAGGUACAAUUUGUUUAAAAACCUAGGUAUUGGAAAAUAUAACCACGACAAUUAAAAACUAUUAUAAAACAAGUCAAUAAACAAUUUAUUAUUAACAAAUCUUUUGGAUUCUUCAGAGAGCAGUUUCAGUUAAGCUCUGAAGAAGCCAACAGGAUGAUUGGCGAAACGUCCGCAAGUUUUAUUCAUACAUAACCGAAGCAGGAGGAAUCCAGAAACUUUGUAAAUGGUAUUACAGUAGUGUGAGAAAGUUUCUUUAAAAAAUUAAUAAACAAUUUGUUUAAGAAACUGUAUGUCAAUAUGUAAC